AUGCCAUGGUGUGGGCACGCUUGAAUAUACUCCUGGAGACACUCCCAGACUUCCGGGAUGGUCUCAUCUUGUAAUUGCUGAAUCCCGGUAAUCCUAUUUCAGAGGGC